GGGCCUGCGGGCCGCGGGACAGGGAGGGCGCGGGGCCGGGCUGCUGGGUCCGAGCUCUGGGCACUAUGUCCUCCCUGACGCCGCCAGGACAGCGCCUGGCCCAGGCCUGGGCCUGGUGAACGCGGGUUUCUUCCUCUGAGAAUCAGAAACUCGGAGUGGAGCCCAGCAAUGUGUGUCCUGACAAGUCCACGCGCGACCCCAGUGCUGGCUAGGGUUGCAAAGCCACUGCUCUACGGAGCGAGCGAGAUCCAUCAUAGUGGGACAAGCGAGAGGAUGAGGCCAUGCAGACCAGGGAGAGAGGCUCCUUACACUGACAUUCAAAGUCCUCAAUGACCCGGCCCCAGCCUGCCUCUGCAGCCUUAUCUCCCUACCAACCAUCAAAGCAGAACAAAAAGCUGUGCCUCCGAUUUAGGUUUUAGCAAACCACAAGAAGCAUUUCAUAAACUUGUGACUCAAGUAGAAAAGUACUGUUCCACGCACUUGACACCAAUCCACCCAUUUCACCUGCAUGAUCACCCUGCCUUUGCAUGAGUUGCCGGUGUGGACAGAGCAGGGACACAGUGAGACAGCGGAUUCCAGCUUUGCUCUUACCUAGAACACACUGCCUCUCACCAGGAAUCGUCCUUCCAUUUUAUGCAGUUAUCCCAGACAAUGAUGCACAAGCUUUGGGAAAAAAACCUCACAAGUCCAAAGGUGUACUUCAUAAUAAAGGCAAGUUCUCUG
rnacentral:lncRNA from 1 species